ensembl:processed_transcript Gm20394 predicted gene 20394
UCCUUCCUUCCUUCCUUUCUUCCUUCCUUUUCCUCCUCCUCCCCUCCUUUCCUCCUCCUCCUCUUCCUCCUCCUCCCCCUCUUCUUCUCUUCCUUCUUUUUUUUUUUUUAAAGAUUUAUUUCUUUAUUUUACGUAUAUGAGUACACACUGUAGCUGUACAGAUAUUUGUGAGCCUUCAUCUGGUUGUUGGGAAUUGAAUUUAGGACCUCUGCCCACUCUGGUCAACCCCGCUUGCUGGCCCCGAACUUAGAGAUCUGCCUGCCUCUGCCUCCCCAGGACAGGUGCCACCCUGCCUGUGCUUCAUGUGACUUUUCAAUGUUUAUGGCCCAAGGAACUUGCAGUUUGAGUUUCUUCAGUAUUCCGAAGGUCCUGAUCUCUGUUAAGGAUUUAAUGAGAUGGUUGGUGGGGGAAAGACAUCAAACCUGGGGUGACCUGGCUAAGGUUUCCCCUCACCCCCAUCAUCUGUCUUCACAUUUCAGCCGCCAGACAACCACUUGUUGCUGGUUCUGUGACCGGGAAAACUCUGAGAAAUCAGUGUUUUGGGGGGGGGGCUGCUCGUCUGCUUGUUGUUUGGGGAAUGGCUGUGCCCUCUCCAUUCAGAUCUCACCUUCUAGGUGGCUUUUUACUCCACGUGGCUGGAGAUGAAGGUGAACAGCCCUGGGACCCAGUCCCAGUUGGGCAGCUUGGAGUUCUUUGGGCAAAGCCAUCUGACCCAUCUGAGCCUUACUAUAAUGGAUUUAUUUCCAUGACAACUGGCUCUGGGAUGAGAUAUCCAUCCCAGUUGCUCAUCUCUAGGCUGAAGGGUGGGAGUGGAGAAGAAGAAGGGACCUCUUUGGUAUUGAUAACCCUCAGUCCUCCUGCUGGGGGCAUGGGCUGGCGUUUUUUGGAAGCCUCCAAGAUGAUGCCCUCUCCCCUCACUCCUAGCUAGGACAGCUGGGG